rnacentral:tRNA from 5 species
GCGCCUGUAGCUCAGCCCGGACAGAGCAACGGCCUCCGGAGCCGUGUGUCGCCCGUUCAAAUCGGGCCAGGCGCGCCA